rnacentral:rRNA from 1 species
CUACGGGAGGCAGCAGUGAGGAAUAUUGGUCAAUGGGCGAGAGCCUGAACCAGCCAAGUAGCGUGCAGGAUGACGGCCCUAUGGGUUGUAAACUGCUUUUAUAAGGGAAUAAAGUGAGCCUCGUGAGGCUUUUUGCAUGUACCUUAUGAAUAAGGACCGGCUAAUUCCGUGCCAGCAGCC